UGCUGUGAUGGUGUAAUUUGCGACUGACUCUGUGACCAGUGACAGAAUGCCUACUGUCGUAUGCUGCACAGAUGGUUGACGAACAAAGAGUCUGAGCG
rnacentral:snoRNA from 1 species